rnacentral:rRNA from 1 species
ACGCUGGCGGCACGCCUAACACAUGCAAGUCGAACGAAGUAGCAAUACUUAGUGGCAGACGGGUGAGUAACAUGUAGGUAUCUACCCUAUGGCCUGGAAUAACACGAGGAAACUUGUGCUAAUACUGGAUAAGUCUUUACGGAGAAAGCUUUAUGCACCAUUGGAUGAGCCUGCACUUGAUUAGUUUGUUGGUAGGGUAAUGGCCUACCAAGACUGUGAUCAAUAGCUGAUUUGAGAGGAUGAUCAGCCACAUUGGGACUGAGACACGGCCCAAACUCCUACGGGAGGCAGCAGUGGGGAAUCUUGCACAAUGGAGGAAACUCUGAUGCAGCGAUGCCGCGUGAGUGAAGAAGGCCCUUGGGUUGUAAAGCUCUUUCGUCGGGGAAGAAAAUGACUGUACCCGAAUAAGAAGGUCCGGCUAACUUCGUGCCAGCAGCCGCGGUAAUACGAAGGGACCUAGCGUAGUUCGGAAUUACUGGGCUUAAAGAGUUCGUAGGUGGUUGAAAAAGUUGGUGGUGAAAUCCCAGAGCUUAACUCUGGAACUGCCAUCAAAACUUUUCAGCUAGAGUAUGAUAGAGGAAAGCAGAAUUUCUAGUGUAGAGGUGAAAUUCGUAGAUAUUAGAAAGAAUACCAAUUGCGAAGGCAGCUUUCUGGAUCAUUACUGACACUGAGGAACGAAAGCAUGGGUAGCGAAGAGGAUUAGAUACCCUCGUAGUCCAUGCCGUAAACGAUGUGUGUUAGACGUUGGAAAUUUAUUUUCAGUGUCGCAGCGAAAGCGAUAAACACACCGCCUGGGGAGUACGACCGC